rnacentral:tRNA from 1 species
UCUCUGGUGGCUGAGACAGUAAAGCACCUGCCUGCAAUGCAGGAGACCCGGAUUCCAUCCCUGGGUUGGGAA